rnacentral:rRNA from 1 species
AACGAACGCUGGCGGCAGGCUUAACACAUGCAAGUCGAGCGCCCCGCAAGGGGAGCGGCAGACGGGUGAGUAACGCGUGGGAAUCUACCCAUCUCUACGGAAUAACGCAUGGAAACGUGUGCUAAUACCGUAUACGUCCUUAGGGAGAAAGAUUUAUCGGAGAUGGAUGAGCCCGCGUUGGAUUAGCUAGUUGGUGGGGUAAAGGCCUACCAAGGCGACGAUCCAUAGCUGGGCUGAGAGGAUGAUCAGCCACACUGGGACUGAGACACGGCCCAGACUCCUACGGGAGGCAGCAGUGGGGAAUAUUGGACAAUGGGCGCAAGCCUGAGCCAGCCAUGCCGCGUGAGUGAUGAAGGCCCUAGGGUUGUAAAGCUCUUUCACCGGUGAAGAUAAUGACGGUAACCGGAGAAGAAGCCCCGGCUAACUUCGUGCCAGCCGCCGCAGUAAGAC